UACGGAGGGUGCAAGCGUUGUCCGGAUUUAUUGGGUUUAAAGGGUGCGUAGGCGGCCCGUUAAGUCAGUGGUGAAAGCCUCCAGCUCAACUGGAGAACUGCCAUUGAUACUGGCGGUCUUGAGUACAGACGAGGUUGGCGGAAUUGAUUGUGUAGCGGUGAAAUGCAUAGAUACAAUCAAGAACACCGAUUGCGUAGGCAGCUAACUAGGCUGUAACUGACGCUGAGGCACGAAAGCGUGGGGAGCGAACAGG
rnacentral:rRNA from 1 species